GACGAACGCUGGCGGCGUGCUUAACACAUGCAAGUCGAGCGGUAAGGCCCUUUCGGGGUACGACGAGCGGCGAACGGGUGAGUAACACGUGGGUGACCUGCCCUCAGCUCUGGGAUAAGCCCGGGAAACUAGGGUCUAAUACCGGAUAUGACUCCAUGACGCAUGUUGUGGGGUGGAAAGCCUUGUGCGGCUGAGGAUGGGCCCGCGGCCUAUCAGCUUGUUGGUGGGGUGAUGGCCUACCAAGGCGACGACGGGUAGCCGGCCUGAGAGGGCGACCGGCCACACUGGGACUGAGAUACGGCCCAGACUCCUACGGGAGGCAGCAGUGGGGAAUCUUGCGCAAUGGGCGAAAGCCUGACGCAGCGACGCCGCGUGAGGGAUGACGG
rnacentral:rRNA from 1 species